CAGCAGCCGCGGGAAUACGUAGGUGGCAAGCGUUGACCGGAAUUAUUGGGCGUAAAGGGCUCGCAGGCGGUUUCUUAAGUCUGAUGUGAAAGCCCCCGGCUCAACCGGGGAGGGUCAUUGGAAACUGGGAAACUUGAGUGCAGAAGAGGAGAGUGGAAUUCCACGUGUAGCGGUGAAAUGCGUAGAGAUGUGGAGGAACACCAGUGGCGAAGGCAACUCUCUGGUCUGUAACUGACGCUAAGGAGCGAAAGCGUGGGGAGCGAACAGGAUUAGAUACCCCAGUAGUCCCUGUCUCUUAUAU
rnacentral:rRNA from 1 species